rnacentral:rRNA from 1 species
UACAGAGGUCUCAAGCGUUGUUCGGAUUCAUUGGGCGUAAAGGGCGCGUAGGCGGCAAGGCAAGUCGGGUGUGAAAGCUUGGGGCUUAACCCCGAAAGGGCACUCGAAACUGCCCUGCUAGAGGGCCGGAGAGGAGAUCGGAAUUCACGGUGUAGCAGUGAAAUGCGUAGAGCUCGUGAGGAAGACCGGUGGCGAAGGCGGCAUCCUGGACCGGUAUUGACGCUGAGGCGCGAAAGCGUGGGGAGCAAACAGG